rnacentral:rRNA from 1 species
CUACGGGUGGCAGCAGUGGGGGAUAUUGCACAAUGGGGGAAACCCUGAUGCAGCGAAGCCGCGUGUGUGAAGAAGUAUUUCGGUAUGUAAAGAUCUAUCAGCAGGGAAGAAAAUGACAGUAACUGACCAAGAAGCGCCGGCUAACUACGUGCCAGCAGCCGCGGUAAUCCGUAGGGGGCAAGCGUUAUCCGGAUUUACUGGGUGUAAAGGGAGCGUAGACGGUUAUGUAAGUCUGGAGUGAAAGCCCGGGGCCCAACCCCGGGACUGCUUUUGAAACUGUGUAACUGGAGUACAGGAGGGGCAGGCGGAAUUCCUGGUGUAGAGGUGAAAUGCGUAGAUAUCAGGAAGAACACCGGCGGCGAAGGCAGCCUGCUGGACCGAAACUGACGUUGAGGCUCGAAAGCGUGGGGAGCAAACAGGAUUAGAUACCCGUGUAGUC